GCCCUUGGUGAACCUGCGGAAGGAUCAUUAUUGAAUUCGGCCUCCUGGCCUUAUACAUUAAAAACACUGUGAACCGUGGCUUCGGCCCAAACUUGAAGUCUAGAAUGUAACAUAUCAUAACAAAAUACAACUUUUAACAACGGAUCUCUUGGCUCUCGCAUCGAUGAAGAACGCAGCGAAAUGCGAUAAGUAAUGUGAAUUGCAGAAUUCAGUGAAUCAUCGAAUCUUUGAACGCACCUUGCGCCCUCUGGUAUUCCGGAGGGCAUGCCUGUUUGAGUGUCAUGAACACCUCACCCCCUCGGGUUUCCGAUCGGGUGGACUUGGGUGCUGCCAGUUACAUGGCUCGCCUUAAAUGCAUUAGCGGUUGUUGACGUAAUAAGUUUCGUCUUGUCGACCGCUCCUAAUCUCCUUCGGGAUGUCUUCGGACACUUCAUGAUCUGACCUCAAAUCAGGUAGGACUACCC
rnacentral:rRNA from 1 species